rnacentral:rRNA from 1 species
UACGUAGGGGGCAAGCGUUGUCCGGAAUCACUGGGUGUAAAGGGUGCUCAGGCGGAUUCAUAAGUCAGAGGUGAAAUCCUGCAGCUUAACUGCAGAACUGCCUUUGAUACUGUGGGUCUAGUGUUCGGGAGAGGGUAAUGGAAUUCUUGGUGUAGCGGUGAAAUGCGUAGAUAUCAAGAAGAACACCAGUUGCGAAGGCGGUUACCUGGCCCGAUACAGACGCUCAAGCACGAAAGCGUGGGGAG